AGUGAACGCUGGCGGCGUGCUUAACACAUGCAGGUCGAACGAGAACGGCUUAUAGCUUGCUAUAAUUGUCAGCUAAGUGGCGCACGGGUGAGUAAUGUAUAGGUAAUAUGCCUCUUACUAAGGGAUAACAAAUGGAAACGUUUGCUAAUACCUUAUACUCCUUAUUAACAUAAGUUAAUAAGGGAAAGAUUUAUUGGUAAGAGAUUAGCCUGUAUUGUAUCAGUUAGUUGGUGGGGUAAUGGCUUACAAAGACUAUGACACUUAACUGAUUUGAAAGGAUGUUCAGUCAGACUGGAACCUGGACACAGACGAGACUCCUAGGGGAGGCAGCAGUGGGGAAUAUUGCACAAUGCACUAAAGUAUGAUGUAGCAACGACGCGUAGAGGAUGACACAUAUCGGUGCGUAAACUCAUUAUAGAUGAGAAGAUGAUGACGGUAGGAUAUGAAUAAGCACCGACUAACUCCGAGCCAGACGCCGCAGUAA
rnacentral:rRNA from 1 species